AUCACACAACAACCACAUCCCUCCCCUACAGACGCCCCAGAGCACAGCACCUCACCAUGGACUGGACAUGGAGGAUCCUCCUCUUGGUGGCAACAGCUACAGGCGCCCACUCCCAGGUGCAGCUGGUGCAGUCUGGGGCUGAGGUGAAGAAGCCUGGGGCCUCAGUGAAGGUCUCCUGCAAGGCUUCCGGAUACACCUUCACUGACUACUACAUGCACUGGGUGCGACAGGCCCCUGGACAAGGGCUUGAGUGGAUAGGAUGGAUCAACCCUUACAAUGGCAACACAAAGUAUGCACAGAAGUUUCAGGGCAGAGUCACCAUGACCAGAGAUACAUCGACGAGCACAGCCUACAUGGAGCUGAGCAGCCUGAGAUCUGAGGACACGGCCGUAUAUUACUGUGCGAGAGACACAGUGUGA